AUAUGGAGUGUAUAUAUAUACUCUAUAUAGUGUGUGUGUGUGUGUAUAUAUAUACACAUAUAUACUCUCUCUAUAUAUAUGACAUGUUGAAAUUACUAUACAUUUCUAGAAGCAAAGACUAAGAGUCUGUAGUCCCAAGGAAUUAUUCAGUGACUUUGCAAGUCUAUGUACUAAGAAUAAUUCUGAUUUAAAUGUCAGAAUCUGGCUCAGUUUUUGUUUUAACCUUUUUUUUAAAAUUUUUAAUCAGUGUUAUGUAUACACAUGGUAAGUAACUCCAUGGUAUAGAAAAACUGAUGAUGGAAUUCAAUAGGUGCACUCUGCCUUUCCAUUCCCAAGCCCACGCUCUAGAGCAAGCCUGGUAUAGCUUUUGUUUUCAGUUCUUCUGAGGGUUAAAUAAAACGAGUAGGUAGUUUUGUGAAUUAAUAUUGCCUUAUAAUUUUAAGUAUAGUACAUGACCCAGGUGGAGUGCUUUAGAUACAGAUGUAUGAGUGAUUAGUUGCAGGAAACACAAACUACUGUAGCUAGCCACAUUUAAAAGGACUGUAAAACAGGGAACUGGAUGCUUGCAAUAUUGUCACAAGGGCUAGGAGUGGGUUCCAUACUGGGUCUCCAGAAUUAACUCCCAGAAAAACACUGCAGGUCUGUCUGGCUUGCCAGAGGCGCUGCUACCCCACAAUAAUGAGAAAGGUGAAGAAUCAGGGUUGCAUCCACCACGCCACUUGCCUCAACAACUGACUGCAAGAAUUCUGCUGCAGGGAAAUUAAAUGUCUCCUCAACCACACAUGCCACCAGAACACAAGCAAGAGGAAGAUGGCUCUCUCCUCAGUUCUGCAUUCCAAAUCUCACACAUGGGUGUCUGAUCAGUGGAACCCAAUUCACAUCUGGAAAUCUACCUGCAAAGGGAGUCUGGGAAAUGUGGUUAUUUUCUCACCUUCCAGCCCCUGCAUUAUAGGAAGGCACACUAGGAGAGCAGAAUGGACACUGAAUACCAAAUCACCGUAUCAUUGUAUCUACAUUUAUCCACCUCUUUGGCUAGUCAAUAUCCAUACCAUUGUUUAUGAAUUCAAUGCAUUCAUAAACAAUAUAUGAAUAUUGUUUAAUAUUCUUCUGUAUAACAACAGCAACUAUAACAUGCUAAUGUAAGUACGAUAUUUCCCUUCUUUAUCAAAGGAGAGCUAUAAAGAUCCAUCAAUCACAGGGUGGUGUUUAUUCCUCUUCUCGUUCAGUUAUACCCUCACCUUGAUAUCUCUAUCCUAAAAAUGAAAUGAUCAAGUUGAUUACCACCAAUACAAUUUACUUAACACAAUAUUGGAAAAGAGAGGAGGCUGGGCAUGGUGGCUCACACCUGUAGUCUCAGCUACUCAGGAAGCCCUGGAGUUUGAGACCAGCUUGGGCAACAAAGGAAGACCUCAUCUCUACUAAAAAUCAAAAUUAGCUGGGCAUGGUGUUGCAUUCCUGUAGUUCCAGCUACUCAGGAGGCUGAGGUAGGAGGAUUGCUUGAGCCCAGGAGAUCACGGCUUGAUCAUGUCACUGCACUCCAGCCUGGGCGACAGAACAAGACCCCCAUCUCUUAAAAUUUCAUCUCGCAGCCAGGUGUAGUGGUCUUGCUCUCUUGCCCAGGCUGGAGUGCAGUGGUAUAAUCAUAGCUCACUGUAACCUCAAACUCUCGGGCUCAAGUGAUUUCCUACUUCAGCCUCCACAGUAGGUAGGACAAUAGGCAUGCACCACCGUGCCCAGCUAAUCUAUUUUUUGUAGAGAUAGGGUCUCAAUGUGUUGCAUAGGCUGGUCUCAAAACUGGCUUCAAGUGAUCCUCCUGCCUCGAACUCCCAAAGCUCUGGGAUUAUAGAUGUGAGCCACUGCACCUGGCCCCUUUUGAUUCCUGAUUUUUCCUUCCUCACUUAAAAAUUUACAUUGUGGUCUAUGGCAAUAGUCUCCACAUCUUAGUUCUGGUCCUAUAGUUAAACAUCUGAUAUACACUGCCAGUUCUUUUUAUUUACAUUUUCCAUUCAUCUUCGUUUGCGGGAAGCCGUAUUUUAGUAGAUUCUCCAACAAUGGUUCACAUUUCCUGAGUUCUUGUAUGUUACAAAGUGUUUGUUGGAUUUAUACAUGAUUGAUAGUUUGGCUGGCAACCCUGUAACAUUUGAAUCCUCUCACAACAUAUGAGAAAUUCUGGUCUUAUUGAUCCCACCACCUGAAAGUAGAACCAGGAAAACUCCCUAGCAGCCUAUGAAAGGGGCAUAUAACAUACCCUUUUUCAAUCAGAUGUCUUUGUAUGCAACUUCUUUUUUGAAUUCAGCAAUUUAGGGAGGCAUCUCAUGCAGAAUCCUUUUGUUGCUGUUCCGGUGCGGGUGGGGGCAUUCUUCUACCUAUUCCUGCUGCAGAAGUGGCAAAGGUGGGGCAGGGAGGCAGCAGCACUUUCUUCCAGUGCCCUGUGUGGCAGUGGAGUGUCAGCAGCUUCUUCCUUAGUCCAAUUCUAAGGCAUGGUUUUACAAAUUGCUGCUGGAAGCUUACCCUCCUGGUUCACCUGCCUUCUAAUAAUUCCGUGAGCCAAACAAAAUUCUUUCAAAAAACUUCUCCUGCUUAAUCAGUCUGUUUCUAUUGUUUCAAGCAAGACUACAAACUACAGCCUGUGGAAUAAAUGAGACCUAUUAUUAAAUAGCUAAAAACAAAACUCAAGUAUUUUGUAUUCU
rnacentral:lncRNA from 1 species